AGCUCCAAUAGCGUAUAUUAAAGUUGUUGCAGUUGAAAAGCUCGUAGUUGGAUUUUGGGCUCGCAUGUCGUGGCGCCCACCGUGAUGGUGCGUGCGUCGGGACCGGGUCUUUCCUUCGCAUUGCGACCCCAUGCCAUUAAUUUGGUGAGGGAGCUUCGUGUGCGAUCGUUUACUUUGAAAAAAUUAGAGUGUUCAAAGCAGGCUUAUGGCCGUUGAAUAUUAUAGCAUGGUAUAAUGAAAUAGGACCUUUCUCUUAUUUCGUUGGUUUCAAGAGAAAAGUAAUGAUUAACAGGAACAGUUGGGGAUAUUAGUAUUUAUUUGUCAGAGGUGAAAUUCUGGGAUUCUAUAAAGACUAACUUCUGCGAAAGCAUUUAUCAAGGAUGUUUUCAUUAAUCAAGAA
rnacentral:rRNA from 1 species